UACGAAGGGGGCUAGCGUUGCUCGGAUUGACUGGGCGUAAAGGGCGCGUAGGCGGUUCGUACAGUCAGACGUGAAAUUCCUGGGCUCAACCUGGGGGCUGCGUUUGAUACGUGCGGACUUGAGUGCGGAAGAGGGUCGUGGAAUUCCCAGUGUAGAGGUGAAAUUCGUAGAUAUUGGGAAGAACACCGGUGGCGAAGGCGGCGACCUGGUCCGAUACUGACGCUGAGGAGCGAAAGCGUGGGAGCAACAGG
rnacentral:rRNA from 1 species